rnacentral:tRNA from 1 species
AGCCCUGUGGUGUAAGACACAUUGAAUUGCAAAUUCAAAGGAGCAGCUUCAAUCCUGCCGGGGCUU